GGAUCAUUCAGGUUACACAGGUCUAUCAAAACGACUUCUCUCAGGACAGUAUACCAAAUUUCUCAGGAGAGUCAAGACCUCAUAUUUCCUUUAGUAAGGUUUAUAGAUAUGACCUAGAUGAAAACCAGAGGAAACUGACAGUGGCAAAUAAUUACCAAACUUAAAUGUGGGAGGAAUGACAGGACCCCACUGAAGAAGCAGGUGACCAAAGGCUUGGAUUUUGGACUCAUCCGUCACUUAACAGUUGUGUCAUAUUGGGCACAUCACUAAACCUCCGUGAGUGAACAGUUUUUGUUACUGUGAGGACGGAUGAAAACCACAGAAAAUUAUUCUGGUUUUUCCCCACCCUGGAGAGCUGUGUAAGGAAACAAAACUGAUGAAAUGCUGGUGAAGAACUUCAAGUGGAUAAAUAUAUACAGAUUUGCACAUGCUUGAGAGGUUAAUAACUUCUUUCAUAAAUUAUAGAGCUCCUGACUUGCAUAUUCGGGUGGUCCUUGUAGUAAAAGUAGCAGUGUUUGGUAUCUGAAUCCCUCGCAUAGGAUGCAAGGUCUUCCUACCUACUCAACAACGGCUAGCAUAUAUGUUGUGAUAAUGAAAGUUAGAAUGAUAUGCUUGUCAGUUAUUUAAUUAUUCCCCCCAAAGUCAAUUACUUGUAUUUUGGAAGAAGUAGAACUCUGUAGUGAAAACACAAAGACCUGAAAGCAGUGCAUUAAUUAUUUUAUUAAUUUCUUCUUUUUACAUUAUGGGAAACAUUCAUCUAUUUACACUUUUUUUUGUCCACACAUAAUUUAGGUAAAUAAGCCUACGAAAUUCCAAUUCAUAAAGCCAUAAAAAUGUUCCCCACCCUCCAUCUGAAGGCUUUCAAAUGAAUCUUUUUUUUUCCAAACCAAAAUAAUUUUUAAAAAUUACAUUUGGGACUUCAGAUAUGCUAGUGAUUUACAUUCCAGUUAUUUAAAAUAUGCAUCUACACAUGUUUUAAAAAAGAAAUGGUAAAUUCACAAGGGUAAGGCUUAAAUUAAAGUGGUAAUGCACAGUAGAACAUCAAGGAAACAUCUAUAAAUAACAGAAAUAUAUUACAAAUAAAUUAGUUCUAUUUACCAUUUCAAAUAUUAAAAAUCUUUAAUCCAUUUCUUCAUCUCUCUUUACAAAAAGGUUAUGUGAAUUGUAUGGAAACAUCUGCAAAAAAUAUAAUAAAUACUUAAUUUAUUUGAAGAUUUUUUGAUGUGGGAGACAAACUUCUCUUUUAAUUCCCCCCCCACCCCCGCCCCAAGAAAAUGCCCAAACACCUUUAUACCAAAGUUAAACAAAAUAAGUAGUUUCUCAGGGUACAUACAUUUUCCGUUAUGAACUAAAAAACAUUUCUACAAAUUACAUCAAAAAGAACAACAUAACAAAGGUUAUGCUCAUGGAUGUCAGUUUAAGGGGGCAAGUGGUUAACAAGCAGCUUUAUGUGGGGUCAUGUUUUAACAUCAAGAAUUAGCUUUUUAUAAAGUGUUUGUACGAUUUGUAUUUUUAAGGAAGGCAAAGGUCAUGAUGCCUGUAGGCAUUCAGCUAAAAGAUUUAAAAUUCUUACCAAAAAUAGCUUAUGAAUAUACAAAUACCAUCCACAUAGACAAGAUAAAUAGACCUUCUCUUGUCUCUCUUUAAAAUGCCCUGGGCUAAGCCAGUUUCCAAAGAAAAAUAUUGUAGGAUGAUCUUGAAUCCCAUUAGAAAUCAAUUUCUUAAUCUAAAACCUUCUCUCUACCUCAGGGCACAGAGCUGUAGUUGGGAACAUGUGUCUUCACACGGAUUGCUGCUUCCUUCCCAUCAAUCUGCGAGUUCCAAGUCAUUUUCGGGACUACUACCAUAGGCUACCCAAGGUGGCAGUAAACCUUACUUGAUGCAAACUUUGUGUGACCUUCCAUUGCUACUACGAAGUAAAGAAAAGGUGUGUUCUUUUUAAAACCAGCAAAUACUUGAAGCUCAAUUUUACAAAGCACUCAUGGUGCUUCGGUCACCCUAGUUAAAAGUUGAUUGGUUGGUUUUUUAAUAAGUUAGUAGCCCUUUUCUUGUAAACCACAGCAGUAAACAUUUGUGCCCUGUUUAUAAAGAUAGCUCAAAGCAUCAAUGGCUCUGAGAGGUAGCGAAUUCUCUAGUGGUUUUAGAAUAUAUCUGUGAAAGUAGGUGCCAGAACCCAUCACCUCUCUUAUUUAAAUAAUUUCAUAAAUAAAAUGAAAUUAGCACCUGGCUAUGAGAGUGUUUUUUUUUUUUAAGAAAAAGCUUCUCUGGUGCAAGCAUAUUUGAUGCAUGUUUUGAAAAGUCUUUCAUUAUUCAGUGGUAAUUUCUAAUGCUUUAGGCUGGGAGCUGGACAUAAAAUGCCAGUGGCAACUUUAAGAAUUACCACAUUCUAAAUGUUUAAACUGCUAGGAGUAAGGGCAUCUAAAGAUAACUCCAGCUAGAUGCAAAGUGCAUACUGCUCAUCCAUCAUGACUAAAAACAUUCUCUGCCAAAAGCCUGGGUUUCUUCCAGUGUUUACAAAUCAUGACUUUUCCCUGCUCAUGAUUGCUGAACCUUGCAGGUCACGCUUCCUCUCUCAUUACCUGGGACCUCAAGAUGAGUGGCAGUUCUUUGGAAUGAGGCAGCAUGUAUAUUGGGGUAGAACAUUUAUUUUAUUGGUUUGACAUAGGACAAAAUCCAUAUGCUGGGGUAUGACAGGCCUCUGUGUAGUAGUGAGAAGGCGAAAGAAGAAAAUACACCUGCAAUACGAAGUACUAGGUUACUACAGAUGGAUGUGUAGCAUUCGAAGGGAUAAUAGGAACAUCCAAACUUCUCUGAACACAGCUGGCUGCCAUUUACAGCGUUUCAUAAGCAGAGGUGUACUUACCAUAUAUGUGUAAUUAGGGAGGCCCCCAGGAUGGACACUAACAAAUUAAUAGAACCGACACUUUCCCCUUUAAAGACCCCAACCACAACAUCACUAUAAUACACA